GAUGAACGCUAGCUACAGGCUUAACACAUGCAAGUCGAGGGGUAGCAGGGUAGCAAUACCGCUGACGACCGGCGCACGGGUGAGUAACACGUAUCCAACCUUCCCAUAACUCGGGGAUAGCCUUUCGAAAGAAAGAUUAAUACCGGAUGGUACUUUUUCAAGGCAUCUUGAGAAAGUUAAAGAUUUAUUGGUUAUGGAUGGGGAUGCAUUCCAUUAGAUAGUUGGUGAGGUAACGGCUCACCAAGUCUUCGAUGGAUAGGGGUUCUGAGAGGAAGGUCCCCCACAUUGGUACUGAGACACGGGCCAAACUCCUACGGGAGGCAGCAGUGAGGAAUAUUGGUCAAUGGGCGAGAGCCUGAACCAGCCAAGUAGCGUGAAGGAUGAAGGUCCUAUGGAUUGUAAACUUCUUUUAUAGUAGAAUAAAGUGAUCCAAGUGUGGAUUUUUGUAUGUAUACUAUGAAUAAGGAUCGGCUAACUCCGUGCCAGCAGCCGCAGUAA
rnacentral:rRNA from 1 species